UACAGGGGGCUCGAGCGUUAGUCGGAAUCACUGGGCUUAAAGGGUGCGUAGGUGGCUCGUCAAGUGUUUUGUGAAAUCCCACAGCUCAACUGUGGAACAGCAGGGCAAACUGGCGAGCUUGAGGCAGGUAGGGGCCGGAAGAACAGUAGGUGGAGCGGUGAAAUGCGUAGAUAUCAAGCGGAACACCGGUGGCGAAGGCGGCCUUCUGGACAGUGACUGACGCUGAGACGCGAAAGCGUGGGGAGCAAACAGG
rnacentral:rRNA from 1 species